rnacentral:rRNA from 1 species
UACGGAGGGUGCAAGCGUUGUCCGGAUUUAUUGGGUUUAAAGGGUGCGUAGGCGGCUGAUUAAGUCAGCGGUGAAAUUCCACAGCUCAACUGUGGAACUGCCAUUGAUACUGGUUAGCUUGAGUACAGAUGAGGUAGGCGGAAUUGACAGUGUAGCGGUGAAAUGCUUAGAUAUUGUCAAGAACACCUAUUGCGAAGGCAGCUUACUAAGCUGUAACUGACGCUGAGGCACGAAAGCGUGGGGAUCAAACAGG